UACGGAGGGUGCAAGCAUUGAUCGGAAUUACUGGGCGUAAAGGGCGCGUAGGCGGUGAAAUAAGUCGGAUGUGAAAUUCCGGGGGCUCAACCCCGGAGCUGCAUUUGAAACUGUUUCGCUAGAGUUCAGUUAGGGUAAACGGAAUUCCACGUGUAGCGGUGAAAUGCGUAGAUAUGUGGAAGAACACCGGUGGUGAAGACGGUUUACUGGGCUGAAACUGACGCUGAGGCGCGAAAGCAUGGGGAGCAAACAGG
rnacentral:rRNA from 1 species